CGUACAGUACGUAGAAAUCGAAAGGACGCCCAGAUGGCUCCCCCAAUAAGUCUACUUCGCGGACUCCCUCUUGAUGUAGUUGCUUAAACAGAGUAUUGCGUGAUACCCCUCUCUUUUUCCUUUCUGCUUCUAGAUCAAUUUCUUCUUCAAUGUCUGUCAUCCCAUCGUCCUCUUCAUCGUUGUAGGCCUCUCCAGAAGUCUGGCCUUCUUC
rnacentral:lncRNA from 1 species